rnacentral:rRNA from 1 species
UACGUAGGCAGCGUGCGUUGUUCGGAAUUACUGGGCGUAAAGAGUGUGUAGGCGGUGUUCCCAGUCUGUUGUGAAAUCUCCCGGCUUAACUGGGAGGGUGCAGCGGAAACUAGAAUGCUAGAGGGUGGGAGAGGUAAGCGGAAUUCCUGGUGUAGCGGUGAAAUGCGUAGAUAUCGAGAGGAACACCAGUGGCGAAGGCGAGUCCCUGGACAACACCUGACACUGAGGCACGAAAGCUAGGGGAGCAAACAGG